rnacentral:miRNA from 1 species
AUGAGAAUCACCUGGAGGUCCGGUUAAAAUACAGAUUCCUGGACCCCACCCAGAGAGUUUCUGAUUAGUAGGUUGGGGGGGGGGGCAGAGAAUUUGCAUUUUUACCAAGUUCUCAGGUGAUUCUGAU